rnacentral:rRNA from 1 species
AGAUUGAACGCUGGCGGCAGGCCUAACACAUGCAAGUCGAGCGGUAGAGAGGUGCUUGCACCUCUUGAGAGCGGCGGACGGGUGAGUAAAGCCUAGGAAUCUGCCUGGUAGUGGGGGAUAACGCUCGGAAACGGACGCUAAUACCGCAUACGUCCUACGGGAGAAGGCAGGGGACCUUCGGGCCUUGCGCUAUCAGAUGAGCCUAGGUCGGAUUAGCUAGUUGGUGAGGUAAAGGCUCACCAAGGCGACGAUCCUUAGCUGGUCUGAGAGGAUGAUCAGCCACACUGGGACUGAGACACGGCCCAGACUCCUACGGGAGCAGCAGUAGGGAAUAUUGGACAAU